UUUUUCUUUUUGAAGACUGGUUAUAGUGUUAGUUUUCCCCACACACAGUGGUGGCUAUGCCAGCUAAUAACAUAAAUAUUAGUAUUUAACAAAAACAGAUAAAUGUUCAUAAUACCUUCUAAUGGGUAUGAAAAUAUAGCGUGCCAUGCUGGAUUUCACAAAACAUUUAAAGUCAUCCAGAAACAAACUAUUUGUUCUAUUGUAAAGCAAGACACUUUCUCUAAAGCCAACACAUCUAAUUGCAUUAAUGUAUAUGCUGGAACUAGCAUGGGAGCCACAGUUUUGCAGACACUGCAAUGUUUAGUUUCAUGCACUAGAAGCUAUUCCACUUUAUAAACCAGAAAGACCCCACACAGGGUUAACUUUAGACUGAGCACAGAAUUUUAGCAGUUUUGCCAGCUUCAGUGAAAUGACCCAUCACCUUCAGUUAAGUAUGUAAAACUUGGCAGGAUGGGGGCGAGAGAAGAGAGACAGCUGGCCCUGAACCACCGUAAAAAAAUGUGCAAGUCUGGAUAAUAUCACUCCUGAAAACAUAUGAGGAUCCAACCCAAUUACUUCACAGUUAAAUUUGUUGUAUUCUGAUAAACAUACAGGUUUUGCUAUUUCAGCAGCUUGCACUUGACUAGCAAGGACUAAUAUCCAAGCUAGGAAGGUCUGUGUUGAAUUAACCACGUGCUAGAACACAGAAUAUGGUGAUGACCUCGGUAAUACUAUUAGCCUUUUGCAUAUCUAAAUUCAGCAAGGUAGAGUUAUUCCAAAUACAGGUCUAGCAGGUGGCGUGCUGUCUGCUGCAGUCAAGUGAUCAGCUGUAUUAAUUCAGCAGGGAAUAUACUGGCAUGCCGCCUUCUGUUCUUCCAGUGCGAGACUUUGGAUUCAAGGAUUUUAGGUUUCAAAUCUUAUCUUUGAAGUAGCUACCCUUAGUAUGAUUGAUACAUGUGGCUUACAGACCAUCAGAAAAAUCAAUCUUAACUUGUAGAGUUAUAAAAAUAUAUAAUAAUACUUAAAAGGAAGAAAAAGACCCCAGACAAGCUUCAUGCUGUGGAUGAUGUGCACUUACACCCUUUGGCUCAUGUAACA
rnacentral:lncRNA from 1 species